AUACUUACCUGGCAGGGGAGACACCAUGAUCAUGAAGGUGGUUCUCCCAGGACGAGGCUAACCCAUUGCACUUCGGGUGUGCUGACGCCUGCGAUGUCCCCAAAUGCGGGAUACUCGACUGCAAAAUUUGUGGUAGUGGGGGACUGCGUUCGCGCUCUCCCCUG
ensembl:snRNA U1 U1 spliceosomal RNA